AGCUCCAAUAGCGUAUAUUAAAGUUGUUGCAGUUAAAAAGCUCGUAGUUGGAUCUCAGGUGCAGGCGGGCGGUCCGGCUCGCGCCGGUUCACUGCCCGUAUCUCCUGCCCUACCGUUUGCCGGCUCUCUCCCGCGGGUGCUCUUUACUGAGCGUCCCGGGUGGCCGGUGCGUUUACUUUGAAAAAAUUAGAGUGUUCAAAGCAGGCCUCGGCAGCCUGAAUAAUGGUGCAUGGAAUAAUGGAAUAGGACCUCGGUUCUAUUUUGUUGGUUUUCGGAACGGAGGUAAUGAUUAACAGGGACAAACGGGGGCAUUCGUAUUGCGGCGUUAGAGGUGAAAUUCUUGGAUCGCCGCAAGACGAGCUACUGCGAAAGCAUUUGUCAAGAAUGUUU
rnacentral:rRNA from 1 species